GACGAACGCUGGCGGCGUGCUUAACACAUGCAAGUCGAACGGAAAGGCCCUGCUUUUGCGGGGUGCCCGAGUGGCGAGCGGGUGAGAAACACGUGAGUAACCCGCCCUUGACUUUGGGAUAACUUCAGGAAACUGGGGAUAAUACCGGAUAGGAGCUCCUGCAGCAUGGUGGGGGUUGGACAGUUUCGGCGGUUGGGGAUGUACUCGCGGCUUAUGAGCUUGUUGGUGGGGUAGUGGCUUACCAAGGCUUUGACGGGUAGCCGGCCUGGGAGGGUGGCCGGGGUCAAGGGUACUGAGGUAGGGACCAGACGGCUAUGGGAGGCAGCAGGCGGGAGUAUUGCACAGUGAGCGGGAGCGUGAUGCAAAAGCGCUGCGUGCGUGAUGACGUCUUACUGGGGGUGAACCGCUGUCGCCUGAGACGUAGCGGUAUUGACGGUAAUGAGUAAAGAAGCACCGGCUAACUACGUG
rnacentral:rRNA from 1 species